ACAUUUAUUAUUAUGUAUUAAAUUAACAAUAUUAACCUCAAAAUUUUAUUUUAUUCCUGUUCACAUGUGCCUGCCUGGAGUGUUCGUGUUGAAAUUGUUGCUUCAGUUUUUACAUACUAAUAAGAAUUAGAUGCUGCACCUUGUGACUGUUCUAACACAAACUAGUUCGAACAAGUAACAUUUGAAUAUAAACUAGAAUACCGGUGUUCCCGGAAGUCCAACAACAAGCCAUUGUUGGGUGGUGAUCAGGUGAAUCUUGUUUGAAAAUAUUACAAACAUGACACUAUGCAGACUGCAGUUCGGCCAGUUCCUGACUUGAUGAAAUAAAUGAACAGCAAAAUUAUGUACAUCCAUGUUGUCCAAUAUGUCUUUUGCCUGAACUUUGUCACUCACAAAUGCCACUUUCACCAAAUUCUUCAAAUAUGACCUUGUUUAAUUAUAUAUUUUCUUGACAACUGUCCCUGUAUAUGCCUGUAUGGCACCAUUUAAAUUUUCUGCCACAGGUAAAACAUUUCCUAAACAUCAAACAAAAAUUAUAAAAUAAAAAUUGUUGGCAAGUACAUAACAGAUCUAUAUUUUGAUCUAUAAAUUCGCAAAGCUCGCAAAUAUUCAAACGUUCUAGUUAACACAAGUGAAUACAUGCAUUUCAAUAGUGCAUUGAUAAAUAUCAUUACUAUAUUUACCAUGUAUUUAGUUAAUAUUCUACAUUUAUACAGCAGAGGUAUCCCAGGAUAUCGAUAAAUAAAUUCUCACCUUCUAUAUUUAAAAAUAUUUCUCACCGAUUUCUUGCUUUUUGUUGGCGUCAAUUCCGCUUUACUACAUUGUCUUUUCAGUAUAUUAAUUUA
rnacentral:lncRNA from 1 species